CUCAUUGCUAUUGCUCUCAUCAAAGAGGCCAGCAAGGCCAUCGGUCAUGUGAUGUCAUCACUGUUCUACCCCCUGCUGACCUUUGCCCUACUGUCUUUAGUCAUCGCAUACUGGGGCAUCACCGCCGUGUUUUUGUCAACCUCCAAUGAGCCAGUAUACAAGGUUUUCAAUACAACCGAAUGUAUGUAUUCCAGAGACACCUGCAACCCUGAGACUUUCAACAGCUCAAA